ensembl:snoRNA
AAGACUAUACUUUCAGGGAUCAUUUCUAUAGUUUAUUACUAGAGAAGUUUCUCUGAACGUGUAGAGCACCGGAAACCACGAGGAGGAAGCGCAGUGUUUGUCUCCUGAGCGUGAAGCUGGCGUUUGGUAUCGCUUCGUUUGCGACUGCCUUUUGCCAUUGAUGAUCCUUCUUUUCUUCCUUUGGGAGAAUAGGAGGGAGAGAACGCAGUCUGAGUGGCU